GACUGUUAACCCAUUAUCAGAUGGAUGGUUUGCAAAUAUUUUCUCCCAUUCUGUAGGGUGCGAGAUAUUUCUUAAGAAGAUAAUGUUUCCCAGGAGCACUCUCCACAAACUUCCAGCAUGCCAAUCUCCAUCUCAAAAUUUGCUUCUCUGGGAAUGCAACCUGUGGUGUUGCUCAAUCAAACUGUUCCUGUAGACACAUUACACCCACGUUAGGUGUGUGAUGGACUGAAUUGUGACCCCCACCCCAAAUUCAUGUUGAAACUUUAACACCAAGGAACUCCAAAUGUGACUGUGUUUAGAGAUAGGGUCUUCACAGAAGUAAUUAAGUUAAAAUGAGGUCACAUGGGUGGGCCCUAAUCCAAUAUGACAGGAGUCCUUAUAAGAAGAGGAGAUGAGGACACAGCCACCCACAGAGGGAAGACCACACAGGGAGAAGAUGAAGGUCUACAAGUCAAGGAGAGAGGCUUCAGGAGAAAUCAACCCUGCAGACACCUUAUCUUGGACUUCCAGCCUCCAGAACUGUGAGAGAAUAAAUUUCUGUUGUUUAAGCCCCCACUCUGUGAUACCUUGUCAUGGCAGCCCAAGCAGAUACAAUAGGCGGAUUUAGAGGUUCUUCGUUUUGAUCCUGAUUCUUUCACUUUUAUACUUAAGGAACAACUCAGAAAUCUGAACAGGUUAAAUUCUCUUUUAAGUAUAAUGAAGCAGGAUGGUAAUUCUCACUACAUAGUGUUUUCAUAUUCCCUACAAUAGGUCAGGAUAAUCAUGUUUUUAGAGAGGUGAUAAAGAAUAUGCAUUACCUCUCUUCAUCACAUCUCUCUGUUUACAGCAUUUACUACAAACCUGAGGCAGAUGUAAAUACACGGUGUGGAUAAGUACCUUGGAACUGCAGUGAACUUGCAUUUAGUGGGAAAGAAUGGCAAAAUUUCCUUCCUUCCUUUCUUUCUUCCUUCCUUCCUUCCUUUCCUUCCUUCCUUUCCUUUCCUUUCCUUUCCUUUCCCUUCCUUCCUUCCUUCCUUCCUUCCUUCCUUCCUUCCUUCCUUUCUUUUCUUUCUUUCUCUUUUUUGAGACAAAGUCUUGCUCUAUCACCCAUGCUGGAGUGCAGUAGCGUGAUCUGAGCUCACUGCAACCUUCACCUCCUGGGUUCAAGCAAUUCUCCUGCCUCAGCCUCCGGAGUAGCUGGGAUUACAGGUGCACAUCACCAUGCCCGGCUAAUUUUUGUAUUUUUAGUAGAGACAUGGUUUCGCCAUCUUGCCCAGGCUAGUCUUGAACUCCUGACCUCAGGCGGUCCACCCACCUCGGCCUCCCAAAGUGCUGGUAUUAUAGGCGUGAGCCACCACGCCCAGCCGAUUUGGCUUUUUUUCUUUAGAUAAACUAUAACAUGCCAUGCCUGGCUGCAGGCUUCCUGCCCUAAUGCAAAGGUGAAAAAGCUUUGCAGUUUAAUUUGUUUUGUUUUUUUUUUUUUUUGGUUUUCAUUUUUUUCUGAGCCAGCCCCUUUAUUCUUUAUUGUCUUCAGUGGAGCAAUGGUAAAUGUUUAACUACCAGCUCUUUGAAAAUGAAAUAAAACAGAACCAUCCUGGGAAAAGAAUGCUGCAGGGUGCCAGCCUCUCUGCAGCCAGGGACAGCUCUCCAGGUGUGAGGAGACCUCUCCGCCUUCCUCCUCACACUGAUAUUAGUGCAGUUCCCUCAGGGCUUGCUUUUAUUUGCUGAGGCUUCUUGUAAGGGGUUUACUUUUAAGAGUAUUUAUGAGUUUAGCACAGGCUUCCCCAGUGAAUUUUUCUGUCCAUGCCUUCACUCAUGGUGUCUUCAUUGUCACCUCUGGAACCAGAAAAAUCACAGCUUAAGGAAGUUCAGGUGAGUGACCAAGUCUAGCCCCAUCCAGAUUCCCAAGGCUCAUUCUCCCACCAGGCCUUUCAUUAUGCUCUGUGUCUCUCAUCUUCUCCCUUCAAUGAUUUCUUUUAGCUGCACUGACUUGACUUUUUAUGUGCUAUAAAACUCAGGAAGCUUCUUUUGAGGGCUUAGUACGUGCCAAACACAAUUCUAAGCAACAUGCAUGUUUAAUCAUCACAAACCCUUUGAGGUCGGUACUAUUCUCAUUCUCAUAUUGUAGAUGAAGAAACUGAGGCACAAAGAGGGUUAAUAACUUGUUCAAGGCCCUAUUACUCAAUAGAGGCAAGACUGGGAUUCAAACUAGGCAGUAUGGCUUCUAGUCCGUAUUUUUUUUUCUUUUCUUUUUUUUUUUUUGGAGACAGAGUCUCGCUUUGUCGCCUAGGUUGGAGUGCAGUGGUGCAAUCACAGCUCACUGCAACCUCUGCCUCUGGGGUUCAAGCAAUUCUCAUGCCUCAGCCUUCUGAAUAGCUGUUACUAUAGGUGCGCACCACUACACCCAGCUAAUUUUUCUAUUUUUAGUAGAGAUGGGGUUUCACUCUGUUGGUCAGGCUGCUCUCGAACUCCUGACCUCAACUUAUCUGCCCGCCUUGACCUCCCAAAGUGCUGGGAUUACAGGCAUGAGCCACUGCACCCAGCCCCAGUCCAUAUUUUUAACCAGCAUCCUACCUGAAAAAGAGCAGUAGGAAUAUAUGUAUGCGUAGUGUGAAGUGAUGUGUGUGUGUGAGUGUGUGUAUCUGUGUGUAUGAAAAGUUAAAAUAAAGUUUAAUAAUGGGGGAAAAAAUCACCCAGAAGUCAUGAAAUUAAAGACCUCAAAGGCCCUUUUGACUCAACAUAGAUAAUUCUAAAGCAAAUUAAAAAAUUGAGGUGGUGAAAUUAUAUGGUUUUUAGGUUUAGAAUUCCAAAAGUUGAGAAUCAGCAUGUAUUGGAAAUACCAUAGAACUAAUGUUAAUUGCAGAGUUACAGCUGGAAUGAAAUACUGACUUGCUUCAGGGAAUGUUUUAUCUCCCUGUAUCUCUCUGUUUUUGUCUCAGUUUAGUAAUGUUGGCUGAGUAGGUAUAAAAAAUGAGAAGAGAGACAUUUUUUGUUUCACUAUUCAUAGAGAAAUUGGUAUUUAUAUUGAAUGGAUUGAGAAUUCACAAAUAAAUAUAGUUUGUUCCAGUUUGGAUUACUAAUUUGGUUUGGUGGAAGCCUCUGAAGUAUCCAGUUCUGUGACAGACUUUUGCCAUAGAAUCUAGUACUAGCGAGGAUUGUUAAGAGGUCAUUACCUUGACCUUAAAACAUCACAGUAAGCGGGCUAUUGUCCAAGAUGGACGAAUAGGAACAGCUCCAGUCUGCAGCUCCCAGCAAGAUUGAUGCAGAAGAUGGGUGAUUUCUGCAUUUCCAACUGAGGCACCUGAUUCAUCUCACUGGGACCGGUUGGACAGUGGAUGCAGCCCAUGGAGGGUGAGCUGAAGCAGGGUGGGGCAUUGCCUCAUCAGGGAAAUGCAAGGGGUUGGGGUAUUUCCCUUUCCUAGCCAAGGGAAGCCAUGACAGACUGUACCUGGAGAAACAGUACACUCCUGACCAAAUACUGUGCUUUUCCCACAGUCUUAGCAACCAGCAGACAAGAAGAUACCCUCCUGUGCCGGCUCAGUGGGUCCCACGCCCACAGAGCCUUGCUCACUGCUAGCGCUGCAGUCUGAGAUCGACCUGCAACGCUGCAGCUUGAGGGGGGGAGGGGCAUCUGCCAUUGCUGAGGCUUGAGUAAACAAAGUGUCACAGUGAAAACAAAGAGGCCAGGAAGUACAAACUGGGCAGAGCCCACCACAGCUCAGUAAGGCCUACUACUUCUACAGAUUCCACCUCUGGGGUCAGGGCAUAGGAGAACAAAAGGCAGCAGACAGCUUCUGCAGACUUAAACGUCCCUGUCUGACAACUCUGAAGAGAGCAGCGGUUCUCUCAGCAUGGCAUUUGAGCUCCAAGAACGGACAGACUGCCUCCUCAAGUGGGUCCUUGACCCCUGUGUAGCCUGACUGGGAAACACUUCCCAGUAGGGGCCAACAGACACCUCAAACAGGUGAGUGCCCCCCUGGGACGAAGCUUCCAGAGGAAGGAUCAGGCAGCAAUAUUUGCUGUUCUGCAGCCUCCGCUGGUGAUACCCAGGCAAACAGGGUCUGGAUUAGACCUCCAGCAAACUCCAACAGACCUGAAGCUGAGGGGUCUGUAAGAAGGAAAACUAACAAACGGAAAGGAAUAGCAUCAACAUCAACAAAAAGGACAUCCACACCGAAACUCCAUCUGUAGGUCACCAAUGUCAAAGUCCAAAGGUAGAUAAAACCACAAAGAUGGGGAGAAACCAGAGCAGAAAAGCUGAAAAUUCCAAAAAAACAGAGUGCCUCUUCUCCUCCAAAGGAUUGCAGCCCCUCACCAGCAAAGGAACAAAACGGGACAGAGAAUGAGUUUGAUGAGUUGACAGAAGUUGGCUUCAGAAGGUCUGUGAUAACAAACUUCUCUGAGCUAAAGGAGCAUGUUCUAACCCAUUG
rnacentral:lncRNA from 10 species